GUUUGCCCUUGGGGGCGAUCGGAGCCCUGGGUCUCCCGGGCAUUGGUGCGCAACCCCUGCUUCUGCAGCAGCUGAACGGUGGUGGAGGCAGGCGAGGCCCGUCCAGCAGGUCUUCUGCGAAAGCGGGGCAGCAGGAGAAGAUGUCCCUGCCUUUUCUCAGUGCAGACGAUGUGGCAAACCCACAGGAGUUCAUAGAGACAGCCAACCGCCGAGAUGAGCC
rnacentral:rRNA from 1 species